UACGGAGGGGGCGAGCGUUAUUCGGAAUUAUUGGGCGUAAAGGGCGCGUAGGCGGCUUGUUAAGUCAAAGGUGAAAUCCCUCGGCUCAACCGGGGAACUGCGUCUGAUACUGGUUGGCUUGAAUCCGGGAGAGGGAUGUGGAAUUCCAGGUGUAGCGGUGAAAUGCGUAGAUAUCUGGAGGAACACCGGUGGCGAAGGCGGCAUCCUGGACCGGUAUUGACGCUGAGGAGCGAAAGCCAGGGGAGCAAACGGG
rnacentral:rRNA from 1 species